UACGUAGGUGGCGAGCGUUGUCCGGAUUUACUGGGCGUAAAGGGCGUGCAGGCGGUCUGCUAAGUCUAGGGUGAAAGCUCCCGGCUCAACUGGGAGAGGUCCUUGGAUACUGACAGACUUGAGGGAGGCAGAGGAGAAUGGAAUUCCCGGUGUAGUGGUGAUAUGCGUAGAUAUCGGGAGGAACACCAGUGGCGAAGGCGGUUCUCUGGGACGGUACUGACGCUGAGACGCGAAAGCGUGGGGAGCGAACAGG
rnacentral:rRNA from 1 species